GACGAACGCUGGCGGCGUGCUUAACACAUGCAAGUCGAACGAUGACGACCGAGCUUGCUCGGUCUGAUUAGUGGCGAACGGGUGAGUAACACGUGAGCAACCUGCCCUUCACUCUGGGAUAACCUCGGGAAAUCGGGGCUAAUACCGGAUAUGAGCUCCUGUCGCAUGGCGGGUGUUGGAAAGUUUUUCGGUGAAGGAUGGGCUCGCGGCCUAUCAGUUUGUUGGUGAGGUAGUGGCUCACCAAGGCGAUGACGGGUAGCCGGCCUGAGAGGGCGACCGGCCACACUGGGCCUGCGACACGGCCCAGACUCCUACGGGAGGCAGCAGUGGGGAAUAUUGCACAAUGGGCGCAGGCCUGAUGCAGCGACGCCGCGUGAGGGAUGACGGCCUUCGGGUUGUAAACCUCUUUCAGCAGGGAAGAAGCGAAAGUGACGGUACCUGCAGAAGAAGCGCCGGCUAACUACGUG
rnacentral:rRNA from 1 species